rnacentral:lncRNA from 1 species
UCCCUCAAAUAAAAAACAUUAUUCAUGAAGGUUUGGAGGAUUUUAAAAAUCUAAACGAUAAUGUAAGUGUAAAUCAUGACUGUUUAUAUAUUCUUUCACAUUUUUCAUAAUUGUAUGUAUGUCUUCUUAGUUCUUGCCUGUCACAGCCCGUUCCAAAUUAUUAUAUUCGUGGCUGUGAAUGGACGAAAUUGCCCUUAAGAAAUACUAAGUUUGUGAAGCUCAGGUUGCUAAUUAUCUAGGUUCCUAAGUUUUGAAAAUAAAAUGGAAUUUAAUAAGGAUGGAACUUAGAUUUUUAGGUUAAAAUUUUGUGGUUUGGAGUUGGGGAUUGGAAAAGGACCACAUGGGAUCCCCACACCCCUCAAUCCUCUCCCUAUUUUCUGCAUACUGUCUCUCUCUCCUCCCUCACGAAUCUCUCUCUCUCUCUGUGUCACUCUUCUUCUCCGUUCGAACAAACCAACCACAAAACAACCUUAAACUUCCACCAACAACGGAGUUAAGACCACCAUCGAACUCCUGGAGACUCCACGAUCACGUAGACACCAAUUUCAGGUAAGUUUUACUUCGGAAAACCUAGAUUCUAAACUCCCCGUGAAAGUGCACUGUUCAUGAUCUUGGAAUUGACUUUUUUUUAGGACAAUCCAAGCUCACAGUGAGCUUAGUGAGGUUCCAAGGAAGCUCGGAGUGCUUCGUUGGAAGUUUUUGGACGUAAGAACACGGAGAUCGAUAAGUUCAAAGUUUGGCCGGAGCUUUCGAGGCGUUUUCCGGCGAAUCCCCGGCGAGUUAGGAGUCGAGGUAGGUAUCAAUCUCUUCGUCUCGUAAAGUACUACAACUUUCCUUUUUGUUUCACUCAAUUUCGUUGAGUAUUGAAGAAGUUAUACUCAUUUGAAAAAUACCCAGUUUCCGGCGACCUCCGAGGCUUUCGAGGCAUUUUCCGGCCAAAACACGGCGAACUAGGUGUUGUGCAAGGUACCAUUCUCUUUGUCUCUUCAAGGGCUACAACUUUCGUUUUUGAAUCACUUGAUUUCGUUGAGAAAUGACAAAGUUAUGGCAAUUUGAAAAACUGCCCAGAAAACGGCCGCCGGAAAAACCAGUCCGGCGACCCAAGGAAGAAGAAGGUGCUACAGUAAAAAAAUAAAAAAUAAAAAUAAAAUUAUUUUAAAAUUAUGUCGACGUCCGUGACGUUGCGUAGAUCACUGUGGUAUAUUCAUAUACCUAAAUUGAACACCGUAUGAGAAAGUUAUUGAGGAUUGUUGGUUAGGUGUUCAAAUAACGUUUUAUAGUUUUCACAUUUAGGUGAAAAUGUGAAUGUGAAUUGAUGAUCCGACCGUUGGACCGUUGGAUCGUCACCAAACUUUGAUACGUUGUAAUACGUAAUAUUUGAGGAUUAUUGGAACUUACGGAUUGGGAAUCCGAGUUACGGAUCUUCCGGAAUUGGAAUUGUAAGUUCAUAAAAUAAAAUGUUAACCGUCACUUAGUUUUGGAAAUUGACGGAGAUCCGACCGUUGGAUGGUAAUGAAAUUUUAGGAAGUUGUCCUAGAGGUAUAUUGUGGACCUCUGGAAGUUAUGGAUUUAAAAUCUGAGUGGUGGAUCUUCCGGAUCGAACUACGUAGUGACGUAUUUUAUAUAAGUUAUAUAUUCUAUCGAUAUGAAUUCUGAGGUUGGAAUUAAUUAUUGUUUUAGGCGCCGAUCGUCAUGACGCCUUGAUGUGUGGUGCUAGGGAGUUGUAGGGCGAACUCCAGGUGAGUGGGCAGUUUUGUUUUCCGUAUAUAUAUAUACUUGACGUUUCCCAGAAAUUGAAUUGAAAUGAAAAUAUGUUUAAAAUGAAAUGCAUAUGAGUUAUGUGGAAAAACGGGAAGUGAAAUACCAUGCAUAGAAUUGAUAUGAAAAGUAUAUAGAAAUGUGAGUUGAAAUGCCAUGCAUGAAUUAAUAUAUGAUGCAUAUGUAUGAAUUUGUGCGGUGGACGCACAGGUAAGAAUUGAUUUAUGAUGCAUAUGUAUGAAAUGGUGCGGUGGACGCACAGGUGAGUAUUUAAUUACUGUUAUGAUGAUGAUGAUAUAUAUUGAGCUCAAAUCCUGCACCAUGGUUUAGUGCUUAUAGUAUUCACCGCAUCGCACGCUCGCCUUGGAUCCAAGUAGAUGCUGGUCGUACAGUCCACGCGGAGUGGGUGCGACGGGCCAGUCGAAGAGUGUUAGUGAGAUUUCGACUGGUGGGUGACCUUAGAUUAUGUGCACAGAUGAUUAAUGAGAAAGCACUAGAGCGUAACUUGUGUGCAGAAGGCCGGACGAGUCACAGAGGUGACUCCGGUAGAGUGAUAGUGAUAGAUUUUGAGCUCUAGGGUCAACCGUACAGGGCUAUUAGAGGGCCUCCGGUUGAUUACUUUCUUGCACCUGAUAUGAUUAUUGUUGAUGCAUCCAUUCUUAACUGUUGAAUUAGACAUGGCAUGGCAUGAUUGAUAAAGAAAAAAUGUUGAGUUAAUGAACUGAAGUAUUGAGAAUAUAUAUGUAUAUUUAUAUUUUACAUUUCUGGGAAAGUAUACAGGUUUUACGGAGAGGGGUUACAACGUUUUGAGAAAUGUUUGGAUUUGGAAAAGAAUUGUUUUACUGACCCACUCAAUUUUGGUUUUGCGCCCCUCCAGGUUCAGGAAUCACAAAGGUGUGGUGACUACGAGGAAUUCGACGGUGUUCUGACAGAUUGGACAAAAUUAGGACUCACAUUCGGGUGUAUCAACUUUGAAGUUGUAUAAUUAAAGCUUCCGUACUGUGCAAAUGGUUACGUCACUCUCACGUGACGGCCAGCAUGCCCUCCUUCGGGACGGGGUGUGUGAGUCUGGCUCUGAUACCAAACAGUAUACAACUCGCCUUCCUCCGCAGAGAUAUUGUCCGCUUUGUGGUGGAACCCGGCGCACCGGUCCGACCCCACUCACGGAUUUGUUUUUGCAAGCCGCAGCUCCAAAACGCGUCUCUGAAGAGUACAUGUGAGCUUGUACAUAUAAGGCCCAAGGACAGCCCUCACGUCGUCGAUGUGGGAUACUACAAUCCACCCCCCUUAGGGAGACCGACGUCCUCGUCGGCACACCGAACGGCCGUGAGUCUGGCUCUGAUACCAAACAGUAUACAACUCGCCUUCCUCCGCAGAGAUAUUGUCCGCUUUGUGGUGGAACCCGGCGCACCGGUCCGACCCCACUCACGGAUUUGUUUUUGCAAGCCGCAGCUCCAAAACGCGUCUCUGAAGAGUACAUGUGAGCUUGUACAUAUAAGGCCCAAGGACAGCCCUCACGUCGUCGAUGUGGGAUACUACAUUGCCUAUACAAAUACUAUAUUAGUUUAUUUUAAUUUUGGACAACAACAUGUUAAGUAAAAUUUAUCCUAGUAGUGAUAAUAAGGAACUCUCAUAAUAAAAAUAAAUAAUGACUAAAACUUUUAUUUUAAAACUUAUAUAGAAUAAUAAUACAAAACUAUAUAUUUAAUAUAGAAUAUAUUGUAUAUA